rnacentral:lncRNA from 1 species
CAAGCGAGGUGGAUCACCCGGAUACAAACAUGCACACACAGAACAUCAGUAUUGAGGUGGAACAGCCAAGCGAGGUGGAUCACCCGGAUAUAAACAUACACACACAGAACAUCAGUACUGAGGUGGAACAGCCAAGCGAGGUGGAUCACCCGGAUACAAACAUGCACACACAGAACACCAGUACUGAGGUGGAACAGCCAAGCGAGGUGGAUCACCCGGAUACAAACAUGCACACACAGAACACCAGUACUGAGGUGGAUCACUCGGAUACAAACAUGCACACACAGAACACCAGUACUGAGGUGGAUCACUCGGAUACAAACAUGCACACACAGAACACCAGUACUGAGGUGGAUCACCCGGAUACAAACAUGCACACACAGAACAUCAGUACUGAGGUGGAACAGCCAAGCGAAGUGGAUCACUCGGAUACAAACAUGCACACACAGAACACCAGUACUGAGGUGGAACAGCCAAGCGAGGUGGAUCACCCGGAUACAAACAUGCACACACAGAACACCAGUACUGAGGUGGAUCACCCGGAUACAAACACAUUAAUGUGCCAUUAAAAAAGACUUGCUCAACUAUGUUUGGCCUCAUAUCAACACAGCUGUGUACCCAGACUCGUCCACUGGUUACUCGA